GGCGGCGUAGCUCAGCUGGCUAGAGCGUACGGUUCAUAUACCCGUAGGUCCGGGGUUCAAGCCCCUCCGCCGCUA
rnacentral:tRNA from 1 species